UACGUAGGUGGCAAGCGUUGUCCGGAUUUAUUGGGUUUAAAGGGUGCGUAGGCGGCUUUGUAAGUCAGUGGUGAAAUCUGGCAGCUCAACUGUCAGGGUGCCAUUGAUACUGCGGAGCUUGAGUACAGAUGAGGUAGGCGGAAUUGACGGUGUAGCGGUGAAAUGCUUAGAUAUCGUCAAGAACACCGAUAGCGAAGGCAGCUUACUGGGCUGUAACUGACGCUGAGGCACGAAAGUGUGGGGAUCAAACAGG
rnacentral:rRNA from 1 species